rnacentral:rRNA from 1 species
UACGAAGGGGGCUAGCGUUGUUCGGAAUUACUGGGCGUAAAGCGCACGUAGGCGGAUAUUUAAGUCAGGGGUGAAAUCCCAGAGCUCAACUCUGGAACUGCCUUUGAUACUGGGUAUCUCGAGUAUGGAAGAGGUGAGUGGAAUUCCGAGUGUAGAGGUGAAAUUCGUAGAUAUUCGGAGGAACACCAGUGGCGAAGGCGGCUCACUGGCCCGGUACUGACGCUGAGGCGCGAAAGCGUGGGGAGCAAACAGG